rnacentral:lncRNA from 1 species
CGCCGCCAUCCCACCCACCGCGGCGGCGCGCGGAGCGGGCUCCGCCACGCAGCUCCCGGGGCGAGUGGCAGGCGCGCCAGGCCGCCAUCUCCUACCUGCUCGGACGGACCCGGCCAGGCGCUGCACCCCACUACAGGCCGCGUCUCAUUGUGUUGCCGCCGCCACCGCCAUUUCCCCGCUGCCGCCGCCUUGCUCCCCCCAACUGUCAGGUUCCUCCAUUCACCUGGGCCCGCGACGGCCUCCUCCUCCUUCUCCUCCCCCCCCUUUCCCCCUGCGCUGCCGGCCCUACGCAAACAGAGCACCUCCCACCCGUACCAACGGAGGCCGCCCAGCGCCUGCGACGCAAGCCCGCUCCGAGAAUUCCACCCUGCGCAGCUUACGCUUCGCGUCCCCGCGACAUGAAAGGAACCAAACGAUUGGCGGCGAGACCUAGAUAAAAGUGGAUGCAUUUAGUUGCAUGCUGCAUUUUGCUGAUCCUGUUUGCCCUGCUGCAAAGAGCACUGCAAGAUAUUUCAGCAGUAGCAGCUGUCUGAAAAGGAGUCAUCAAAAGUGCCACUGAGGUGGAAGUGAGCUUUCCAUGUCUCAUAUUCAGAAGAAGAAAGAAAUGCUUUGAUAUUCCACAAUUUCAGUUAAGAUAACCCUGAAACAGACACGGCACGUGAGAAUAAAAGGUUCACCAUCUAUUAGCCCAGUGGAAAUCAGGGGGUGACCUUUUGUCAGGUCAGAGCUUUUGGCUGCGGAGGUUUGGGAACUUUCACAGGUACAUUCUAACCUGUGACCUUACUCUGUGUUCCAGCCACUUGUUCCCUGCUGCUGUCUUAAUCAAAACCAGUAGUGGAUGGUAACUUCCUAGAAGAAGUAGGGGAUUGGUCCUACAUAAUUUAUGCAACAAAUGCAAUGCAUUUAAAGGGGUUAACUGAAGUCUGUGGCAUUGUUUGUGUACCUUGGAUUUGAGGGGUUCUAGCCCUAAGGCAAUGCGUAGGCUUUGGCUACUUCUGGCCUAUGUGA